rnacentral:rRNA from 1 species
CGGGGUGAGUAAUGUCUGGGAAACUGCCUGAUGGAGGGGGAUAACUACUGGAAACGGUAGCUAAUGCCGCAUAACGUCGCAAGACCAAAGAGGGGGACCUUCGGGCCUCCUGCCAUCGGAUGUGCCCAGAUGGGAUUAGCUAGUAGGUGGGGUAACGGCUCACCUAGGCGACGAUCCCUAGCUGGUCUGAGAGGAUGACCAGCCACACUGGAACUGAGACACGGUCCAG